rnacentral:rRNA from 1 species
AACGAACGCUGGCGGCAUGCCUAAUACAUGCAAGUCGAACGAGAUCUUCGGAUCUAGUGGCGCACGGGUGCGUAACGCGUGGGAAUCUACCCUUAGGUUCGGAAUAACAUCGGGAAACUGAUGCUAAUACCGGAUGAUGACGUAAGUCCAAAGAUUUAUCGCCUGAGGAUGAGCCCGCGUAGGAUUAGCUAGUUGGUAGGGUAAAGGCUUACCAAGGCGACGAUCCUUAGCUGAUCUGAGAGGAGGAUCAGCCACACUGGGACUGAGACACGGCCCAGACUCCUACGGGAGGCAGCAGUAGGGAAUAUUGGACAAUGGGGGCAACCCUGAUCCAGCAAUGCCGCGUGAGUGAUGAAGGCCUUAGGGUUGUAAAGCUCUUUUACCCGGGAUGAUAAUGACAGUACCGGGAGAAUAAGCCCCGGCUAACUCCGUGCCAGCAGCCGCCGCGG